rnacentral:rRNA from 1 species
GUGCCAGCAGCCGCGGUAAUACGUAGGUCCCGAGCGUUGUCCGGAUUUAUUGGGCGUAAAGCGAGCGCAGGCGGUUAGAUAAGUCUGAAGUUAAAGGCUGUGGCUUAACCAUAGUAGGCUUUGGAAACUGUUUAACUUGAGUGCAAGAGGGGAGAGUGGAAUUCCAUGUGUAGCGGUGAAAUGCGUAGAUAUAUGGAGGAACACCGGUGGCGAAAGCGGCUCUCUGGCUUGUAACUGACGCUGAGGCUCGAAAGCGUGGGGAGCAGACAGGAUUAGAUACCCUGGUAGUCCACGCUGUAAACGAUGAGUGCUAGGUGUUAGACCCUUUCCGGGGUUUAGUGCCGUAGCUAACGCAUUAAGCACUCCGCCUGGGGAGUACGACCGCAAGGUUGAAACUCAAAGGAAUUGACGGGGGCCCGCACAAGCGGUGGAGCAUGUGGUUUAAUUCGAAGCAACGCGAAGAACCUUACCAGGUCUUGACAUCCCUCUGACCGCUCUAGAGAUAGAGUUUUCCUUCGGGACAGAGGUGACAGGUGGUGCAUGGUUGUC